GGAACCAAUAUAAAUUCUUACUCUUCCUUGAUUUAAGUUCCCAUGAAUAACAAUCAUCUUAUUGUAUCAAUAUUGACCCGCAAACAUGUAUAAUUCGUAUUAUAGUCCCAGGUACCAAACCUGGCAGUAGCACCUUUUCUUCUUCUUGCUUAGGACUUUGCCACUAUGAAGAGACGACCCAUUGACCGGCAAACAUAUACAACUCGUAUUAUAGUCCCAGGUACCAAACUUGGCAGUAGUAGCACCUUUUCUUCUUCUUGCUUAGGACUUUGCCACUCUGAAGAGACGACCUUCAGACAUACAAUGAGGUGACUAAAGGCGGUUAGAAUUGAAUUGUUACAUUUUUGCAUACAAGGCUAGGUUGUAGAACCUU
rnacentral:lncRNA from 1 species